rnacentral:rRNA from 1 species
AGAUUGAACGCUGGCGGCGUGCUUAACACAUGCAAGUCGAGCGGUAACGCGGGAGCAAUCCUGGCGACGAGCGGCGAACGGGUGAGUAAUGCUUGGGAAUCUGCCCAUUAGUGGGGAACAACCAGCCGAAAGGUUGGCUAAUACCGCAUACGCCCUACGGGGGAAAGCGGGGGAUCGAAAGACCUCGCGCUAAUGGAUGAGCCCAAGUCGGAUUAGCUUGUUGGUAGGGUAACGGCCUACCAAGGCGACAAUCCGUAGCUGGUCUGAGAGGACGACCAGCCACACUGGGACUGAGACACGGCCCAGACUCCUACGGGAGGCAGCAGUGGGGAAUAUUGCACAAUGGGCGCAAGCCUGAUGCAGCAACGCCGCGUGAGGGACGACGGCCUUCGGUUGUAACCUCUUUAGUAGGAAGAAGCGAUGUGCUUGUCACAUCAUGACGGUACCUGCAGAAAAGCACCGGCUAACUACGUGCCAGCAGCCGCGGUAAUCUA